rnacentral:rRNA from 1 species
CCAAUAGCGUAUAUUAAAGUUGUUGCAGUUAAAAAGCUCGUAGUUGAAUUUCGGGAUCAAAUUGUUGGUCGUGCCUCGGUACGUACUGGCAUUAUUGAUUUCUCCUUUCUGAAGAACCUUGAUGUCAUUAAUUUGGUGUCUUGGGGAAUCAGGACCGUUACUUUGAAAAAAUUAGAGUGUUUAAAGCAGGCUCACGCUUGAAUACAUUAGCAUGGAAUAAUGAAAUAGGACGUUUGAUUUUAUUUUGUUGGUUUCUAGGAUCGACGUAAUGAUUAAUAGGGAUAGUUGGGGGCAUUAGUAUUCAAUUGUCAGAGGUGAAAUUCUUGGAUUUAUUGAAGACUAACUACUGCGAAAGCAUUUGCCAAGGAUGUUUUCAUUAAUCAAGAACGAAAGUUAGGGGAUCGAAGACGAUCAGAUACCGUCGUAGUCUUAACCAUAAACUAUGCCGACUAGGGAUCGGAUGAUGUUAAUUUUUUAAUGACUCAUUCGGCGCCUUACG